rnacentral:pre_miRNA from 1 species
UGGAGGAACAACCCCAGUGGCGGGGCCAGCUCUGGAAACCUGGAUUCAGCCCCCACAGGAACUCUGAAGCACUCCGCCUGCAGGGCCUGGAGGCCCCGGGCGGGG